AUACUUACCUGGCAGGGGAGAUACCAUGAUCAUGACUGUGGUUUUCUCAGGGUGAGACUAUCCACUGCACUCUGGAGGUGCUGACUCCUGAAGUUCCCCCAAAUGUGGGAAACUAGACUGCAUCAUUUGUGGCAGUGAGGGGAUUUCGUGCACACUCUUC